CUCCAGGAGAAGUCUUCUCAAAGAAAUAUCCAUGAAAUCCAUGGGCAUUGUGAAGCCAUCUUUCUCCAUUACCCAAACAUUCAGCAUCUACUGUUCCUUGGCAGAUUUCACAAAGGGCUGCACACCAGGAGACGAAAAGGGAAGAGAAAUACUCAAGUUCUUUCUCUACAGGAGAAACCUAAAUGGUAAAUGUGAUACUGAACUGAUAAACUGAAGUUUUGCCAAAGCAG
rnacentral:lncRNA from 13 species